AAAAGCCCUAUCAGCGCCAUUACAACAAAACUCAAUUUUUUUUUUUUUUUUUUUCCUUUCUUCUCUCAAGAAACAAAAUUGUUCUUCCCCCUUUUCUUCUUAACACCAAAAAUUUGAUAACCCAGAUGAUGGAAUUCUGGAUAAUCACUCAAUCCUGCGGUUUUCUCCCAUUUCAUUCAUAGUCUUAGAGAUUCAGAACGCGGAGGAUUCGGUUCGAGAUAAUCGAGUUGAAAUCUAUGGAGCCUUCUGAAAUCGUCGCGGCAUUGUCCGAAUCGACGUCGGCGACGUCCUCUUCGUGCUCUGCCUCUGUUUGUCAUCGGAAUUCUGAGGAUAAGCGCCGGUUUGGCGAUCUUAGAGGUGUACGAUGGCGCAUAAAUCUUGGGGUUUUGCCGUCUUCUUCUCUAGCUUCUAUUGAUGAUCUUCGUCGCGUUACAGCCGAUUCGAGAAGAAGAUAUGCAAUCUUGAGAAGACGCCACCUUGUUGAUCCACACAUUUCCAAGGAUGGAAGCAAUUCUCCUGAUAUUGCAAUGGACAAUCCUCUAUCACAGAACCCAGAUAGCAUGUGGGGCCGCUUCUUUCGGAGCGCUGAGCUGGAGAAAAUGGUUGACCAGGAUUUAUCGCGUUUAUAUCCAGAACACGGAAGCUACUUCCAGACGCCUGGAUGUCAAGGCUUGCUUAGAAGAAUUUUAUUGUUAUGGUGCCUUCAGCAUCCUCAAUUUGGCUAUAGACAAGGAAUGCACGAACUUUUGGCUCCUUUGUUAUAUGUUCUUCAUGUUGACGUAGAGAGGCUUUCUCAAGUGAGAAAGCUUUAUGAAGACCAAUUUGCUGACAAGUUUGAUGGACUCUCAUUUCAAGAUGGUAGUUUGAAAUAUAAUUUUGAUUUCAAAAACCGUCUGGAUCCAACCGAAAAUGAGUCUGGAGUUGAUGGAAAUGUGGAAAAUGUGAAAACUCUUUCGGAGUUAGAUCCCGAAAUACAAACCAUUAUAUUGUUGACUGAUGCGUACGGAGCUGAAGGGGAACUGGGCAUUGUCCUUUCCGAGAGAUUUAUUGAACAUGAUGCAUAUUCUAUGUUUGAUGCAUUGAUGAGUGGAGCCCACGGGGCAGUUGCAAUGGCCGACUUUUUCUCUCCGACGCCUGCAGGUGGUUCACUUUCAGGACUGCCUCCUGUAAUCGAAGCGUCUGCUGCUUUAUACCACUUGCUGUCACAUGUCGAUUCAUCCUUACAUGCUCACCUUGUCGAACUGGGUGUAGAACCACAGUACUUCUCUCUCCGCUGGUUAAGGGUUUUAUUUGGUCGUGAAUUUUUGCUUGAAGAUCUCUUGACCAUUUGGGACGAAAUAUUUGCAUCGGAUAAUAGUAAAUUUGACAGAAGUGAUGAACCUGAGACGAGCUCGAGCUUCGGCUUCCUGAGUUCAUCUCGUGGUGCAUUUAUUGCUGCUAUAGCUGUUUCUAUGUUACUUUAUCUGCGAUCAUCUUUACUUGCCACAGAAAAUGCAACUUUAUGUCUCCAGAGAUUGUUGAACUUCCCCAAGAAUGUGGAUUUGAAAAAACUAAUAGAGAAGGCAAAAUCUUUGCAGACUUUAGCAAGGCAGUCUAAUAUCUCAUCUACACCCCUCUUGUCUGGAGCUUAUCACCAUCACAGUAAGUCUAUGGUUGCUCGAGGUAAUGGCCAUUCAUCUGGUUCCGUGUCACCAAAAACUCCGUUAAAUCACGUUCCUGAGAGUUACUGGGAGGAAAAGUGGAGAAAGGAACAAGAAGCUAAACAAAAUGGCUCAAGAAAUCAGAAUGUAGCCCAAAAGAAAGGAUGGUCAGAGAAAGUGAGGUCCCUGUAUCGGACGGAAUCUGACCCAUCUCCAGCGAAGCUGGCUGGUGGGAGGAAGAACACGAAAUCCUCUGUUAGGCGAAGGUUACUGGAAGAUUUGUCGCGUGAACUAGGUGCAGAGGAAGACAUUGAAAAAUGUGGGAAUGAUGAAGUCCUUGACAGCAAGGAUGAUCUCUCGGUCGAAGGCGAGGUGGAUGGACAAGAUGGCUGCGAGAAGUACAUGGAAAAUGCUGAAGACAAGAGAUGUGGCAGUGAAGAAAACUCUUCAAUAUUCUCAGACCCAACAAGUUCCUUCGGUGGAGUCAAUGACACCGAGCAUGACAUAAAUGACUCGAGCCGAAGCAGCGUCGCGUCGAAUUUGUCCUCGGAUGAAAAUGACGAUCAGUCUCGGUCUGUCGUGGACGGCCCCCCUCUUCCAUAUCCUGGUCAGCUCGAGAUCAUCCCUGAAAAACCUGGGUGCACCAAUGAUUCUGAGGCCAAUGCAGCAGUAGGGACAAAGGAUAGAAAACUAAUAGGAAAAUUUCCAUGGUUUUGGAAGUUUGGCAGAAAUGCUGCUGCUGAGGGGAAAGCUGACUGUGAGGCUUCCAAAUCGACAGCAGCUGAGAGUAAUCCGAUAAAAGCUGAUGGUGCUUGUAGUACUUCUGUUAGCAUCAAAGGAGACGGUGUCGAUCAACACGUAAUGGGGACUCUCAAGAAUCUCGGUCAAUCUAUGCUCGAUCACAUACAGGUUAUCGAAACCGUGUUUCAGCAAGAAUGCGGUCAGGUAGGACCGUUGGAGAAUUUGUCGAAGAAUCCUUUAGUUGGGAAAGGGCAAGUAACAGCCAUGGCAGCUCUGAAGGAGCUUCGGAAAAUCAGCAACCUCUUAUCUGAGAUCGACAUGAAUACGCUCUUCUUGUACGGAGAAGGCAUUAAGCUUAGUAGAAUAAUUGGAAUUGGAUGUGAAAGUUUGAUGCAGAAACUUUGAAAGUUCUUGCAAGAUGGCUUCAAAACUUUGUGGUUGAAAACAAGCUGUGAUUGUUUUUAGUGAUGUUUGCAGGUUCGACUAUCAUGGAGUGGGAGAUCGAACCAUCAACAUUUGAGCUCAUCACUGGUGCAUUAUCUACUAAGCUGAGCUCGGAAAAGUAUUAUAUGUGAGCUAUCCAUUCAUGAUUUGUCAAGU